GACUCCUACGGGAGGCAGCAGUGGGGAAUAUUGGACAAUGGGCGCAAGCCUGAUCCAGCCAUACCGCGUGGGUGAAGAAGGCCUUCGGGUUGUAAAGCCCUUUUGUUGGGAAAGAAAUCCAGCUGGCUAAUACCCGGUUGGGAUGACGGUACCCAAAGAAUAAGCACCGGCUAACUUCGUGCCAGCAGCCGCGGUAAUACGAAGGGUGCAAGCGUUACUCGGAAUUACUGGGCGUAAAGCGUGCGUAGGUGGUCGUUUAAGUCCGUUGUGAAAGCCCUGGGCUCAACCUGGGAACUGCAGUGGAUACUGG
rnacentral:rRNA from 1 species